rnacentral:rRNA from 1 species
AUCUUCCGCAAUGGACGAAAGUCUGACGGAGCAACGCCGCGUGCGUGAUGAAGGCUGUCGGGUCGUAAAACUCUGUUGUUAGGGAAGAACAAGUGCUAGUUGAAUAAGCUGGCACCUUGACGGUACCUAACCAGAAAGCCACGCCUAACUACGUGCCAGCAGCAGCGGUAAUACGUAGGUGGCAAGCGUUAUCCGGAAUUAUUGGGCGUAAAGCGCGCGCAGGUGGUUGCUUAAGUCUGAUGUGAAAGCCAACGGCUCAACCGUGGAGGGUCAUUGGAAACUGGGAGACUUGAGUGCAGAAGAGGAAAGUGGAAUUCCAUGUGGAGCGGUGAAAUGCGUAGAGAUAUGGAGGAACACCAGUGGCGAAGGCGACGUUCUGGUCUGUAACUGACACUGAGGCGCGAAAGCGUGGGGAGCAAACAGG